GGACGAAGAGAGGAGAACUCUUUGAUUACCUCACAGAGAAAGUCACCCUAAGUGAGAAAGAGACACGGUGGUUGAGUAUCUUCACACCCACAAUAUAGUCCAUCGUGACCUGAAACCAGAGAACAUUCUGUUAGAUGAUGAUGUGAAUAUCAAACUCACUGAUUUUGGCUUCUCGGUCCAGAUUGAGCAUGGACAAAGACUGAAUGAGGUUUGUGGGACACCAGGUUACUUGGCUCCAGAAAUAAUUGAGUGCUCCAUGGAUCCCAAUCAUGCUGG